rnacentral:rRNA from 1 species
GCUCAACCGAGGAAGUGCUUCGAAAACUGGUAAACUUGAGUGCAGAAGAGGAAAGUGGAACUCCAUGUGUAGCGGUGGAAUGCGUAGAUAUAUGGAAGAACACCAGUGGCGAAGGCGGCUUUCUGGUCUGUAACUGACGCUGAGAUUCGAAAGCAUGGGUAGCAAACAGGAUUAGAUACCCUGGUAGUCCAUGCCGUAAACGAUGAGUGCUAAGUGUUGGAGGGUUUCCGCCCUUCAGUGCUGCAGCUAACGCAUUAAGCACUCCGCCUGGGGAGUACGAUCGCAAGAUUGAAACUCAAAGGAAUUGACGGGGGCCCGCACAAGCGGUGGAGCAUGUGGUUUAAUUCGAAGCAACGCGAAGAACCUUACCAGGUCUUGACAUACCAUGAAAAGCUAAGAGAUUAGUCUUUCCCUUCGGGGACAUGGAUACAGGUGGUGCAUGGUUGUCGUCAGCUCGUGUCGUGAGAUGUUGGGUUAAGUCCCGCAGCGAGCGCAACCCUUAUUAUCAGUUGCCAGCAUUCAGUUGGGCACUCUGGUGAGACUGCCGGUGACAAACCGGAGGAAGGUGGGGACGACGUCAAAUCAUCAUGCCCCUUAUGACCUGGGCUACACACGUGCUACAAUGGUCGGUACAACG